CUACGGGGUGCAGCAGUGAGGAAUAUUGCACAAUGGGGGGAACCCUGAUGCAGCAACGCCGCGUGGAGGAUGACGCAUUUCGGUGUGUAAACUCCCUUUAUAUGUCAAGAAAAUGACGGUAGCAUAUGAAUAAGCACCGGCUAACUCCGUGCCAGCAGCCGCGGUAAUACGGAGGGUGCAAGCGUUACUCGGAAUCACUGGGCGUAAAGGACGCGUAGGCGGGUUGGAAAGUCAGGUGUGAAAUCCUACAGCUUAACUGUAGAACUGCACUUGAAACUUCUAAUCUAGAGUAUGGGAGGGGGUGAUGGAAUUAGUGGUGUAGGGGUAAAAUCCGUAGAUAUCACUAGGAAUACCUAAAGCGAAGGCGAUCUCCUGGAACAUUACUGACGCUAAGGCGUGAAAGCGUGGGGAGCAAACAGGAUUAGAUACCCCUGUACUC
rnacentral:rRNA from 1 species